rnacentral:tRNA from 5 species
GGGCGCUUAGCUCAGCUGGUUAGAGCACCUCCCUUACAAGGAGGGGGUCGGGGGUUCGAGUCCCUCAGCGCCCA